GAGGGGUUCGGGCUUGUCAGGUUCUAGCUCAUGUUUUUUGGCUAGACCUAUGACCAUUUUCGCUAGACUUCACUGCACGUUUUCUCAAGUAUCUUCUUCGUCCCUAAUGUGUGAACCUCAUCAUGGACACGCUACUUUAGCUAAGGCAUGACCAGCAAUGAACAGUAGUAAGAGAUGGGGUUGCGCUUUGUUGCCCAGGCUGAUCUUGAACUCCUGGGCUCAAGCAAUAUGCCUGCUUUGGCCUCCCAGAGUGCUGGGAUUACAGAUAUGUGCUGAUUAGAAGGCUCACUUGUGCAGUGUGGAGGAUAACCAGUGCCUUACAAAAUGGGGUUUGGGAGUGACCUGAAGAAUUCACAUGAAGCAGUGUUAAAAUUGCAAGACUGGGAAUUACGGUUACUGGAAACAGUAAAGAAAUUUAUGGCCCUGAGAAUAAAAAGUGAUAAAGAAUAUGCAUCUACUUUACAGAACCUUUGUAAUCAAGUUGAUAAGGAAAGUACUGUCCAAAUGAAUUAUGUCAGCAACGUAUCCAAGUCUUGGCUACUUAUGAUUCAGCAGACAGAACAACUUAGUAGGAUAAUGAAGACACAUGCAGAGGACUUGAACUCUGGACCUUUACACAGGCUCACCAUGAUGAUUAAGGACAAGCAGCAGGUGAAGAAAAGUUACAUAGGUGUUCAUCAGCAGAUAGAGGCAGAGAUGAUCAAGGUUACCAAAACAGAAUUGGAGAAGUUAAAAUGCAGCUAUAGACAAUUAAUAAAAGAAAUGAAUUCUGCCAAAGAGAAAUAUAAAGAAGCUUUAGCUAAAGUGAAGAAGUGAUGGAUGGUUGUGGGAAUAAAUUAUGUUGUUGGAAUUUUUCCACAAAAAUUAUAUAAAAAUAAAGAAUGUCACCAUAAGAAAUGAAAGAAAACUAGACGUUGGCAUAGGCAAGUAUUUCAUGACCAAAAACUCAAAAGCAAAUACAAUAAAAACAAAGAUAAAUAGCUGGGACCUAAUUAAACUAAAGAGCUUUUGCACAGCAAAAGGAACAGUCAGCAGAGUAAACAGAGUGGGAGGAAAUCUUCACAAUCUAUACACCUAACAAAGGACUAAAAUCCAGAAUCUACAACGAAUCAGUAAGAAAAAAAACUAACAAUCUCAUCAAAAAGUGGGCUAAGCACAUGAAUAGACAAUUCUCAAAAGAAGGUAUACAAAUAGGUAACAAACCUAUGAAAAAAUGCUCAGCAUCACUAAUUUUCAGGGAAAUGCAAAUCAAAACCACAAUGUGAUACCUCCUUACUCCUGCAAGAAUGGCCAUAAUACAAAAACAAAACAAAACAGAACAAAACAAUAGAUGUUGGCGUGGAUACGGAAAUCAGGGAACACUUCUACACGGCUGGUGGGAAUGUAAAAUAGUACAGCCACUAUGGAAAACAGAGUGGAGAUUCCUUAAAGAGCUAAAAGUAGAACUACCAUUUGAUCCAGCAAUCCCACUACUGGGUAUCCACCCAGAGGAAAAGAAGUCAUAUGAAAAAGAUACAUGCACAUGCAUGUUUAUAGCAGCACAAUUCACAAUUGCAAAAUCGUGGAACCAACCCAAAU
rnacentral:sRNA from 1 species